rnacentral:rRNA from 1 species
UGACGUUACUCGCAGAAGAAGCACCGGCUAACUCCGUGCCAGCAGCCGCGGUAAUACGGAGGGUGCAGCGUUAAUCGGAAUUACUGGGCGUAAAGCGCACGCAGGCGGUCUGUCAAGUCGGAUGUGAAAUCCCCGGGCUCAACCUGGGAACUGCAUUCGAAACUGGCAGGCUAGAGUCUUGUAGAGGGGGGUAGAAUUCCAGGUGUAGCGGUGAAAUGCGUAGAGAUCUGGAGGAAUACCGGUGGCGAAGGCGGCCCCCUGGACAAAGACUGACGCUCAGGUGCGAAAGCGUGGGGAGCAAACAGGAUUAGAUACCCUGGUAGUCCACGCCGUAAACGAUGUCGAUUUGGAGGUUGUGCCCUUGAGGCGUGGCUUCCGGAGCUAACGCGUUAAAUCGACCGCCUGGGGAGUACGGCCGCAAGGUUAAAACUCAAAUGAAUUGACGGGGGCCCGCACAAGCGGUGGAGCAUGUGGUUUAAUUCGAUGCAACGCGAAGAACCUUACCUGGUCUUGACAUCCACAGAACUUUCCAGAGAUGGAUUGGUGCCUUCGGGAACUGUGAGACAGGUGCUGCAUGGCUGUCGUCAGCUCGUGUUGUGAAAUGUUGGGUUAAGUCCCGCAACGAGCGCAACCCUUAUCCUUUGUUGCCAGCGCGUAUCGGCCGGGAACUCAAAGGAGACUGCCAGUGAUAAACUGGAGGAAGGUGGGGAUGACGUCAAGUCAUCAUGGCCCUUACGACCAGGGCUACACACGUGCUACAAUGGCAUAUACAAAGAGAAGCGACCUCGCGAGAGCAAGCGGACCUCAUAAAGUAUGUCGUAGUCCGGAUUGGAGUCUGCAACUCGACUCCAUGAAGUCGGAAUCGCUAGUAAUCGUAGAUCAGAAUGCUACGGUGAAUACGUUCCCGGGCCUUGUACACACCGCCCGUCACACCAUGGGAGUGGGUUGCAAAAGAAGUAGGUAGCUUAACCUUCGGG